GAUGAAGAACGCAGCGAAAUGCGAUAAGUAAUGUGAAUUGCAGAAUUCAGUGAAUCAUCGAAUCUUUGAACGCACAUUGCGCCCGCCAGCAUUCUGGCGGGCAUGCCUGUUCGAGCGUCAUUUCAACCCUCAAGCUCUGCUUGGUGUUGGGGCCCUACGGUUGACGUAGGCCCUUAAAGGUAGUGGCGGACCCUCUCGGAGCCUCCUUUGCGUAGUAACUAACGUCUCGCAUUGGGAUUCGGAGGGACUCUUGCCGUAAAACCCCCAAAUUUUCUAAUGGUUGACCUCGGAUCAGGUAGGAAUACCCGCUGAACUUAAGCAUAUCAAUAGCGGAGGA
rnacentral:misc_RNA from 1 species